UGUUGGUAAUCUUUCCAGGGUAGGAGGCUUUACACUCAGCCUGGGUCAGCACCGGAGCAUCCAGGCACUUCAGCUCGUCUGGGUAGUCAGCUGUGAGGAUCAGGAAGAGAUCAAAGAAAGUAGAAAUGUGGGUGAGGCCAGAGAAGGAGACAAUAAUCUGGGAUGGAACAUUGAAGAGGAACACUGCCUCUGGAGAGGACUCCAAAACAUGCAAGACAUUGUGAUUUUGACCUUGUUGGAUGCUGCACCUAAAGGUGGAUGGAAGAGGAAGAGUCUUGGGGGCUACCAUCCUGGCUGGAGAAGCUGGCACGAGGCUCCCUCUUGUGGAUGCAGCAAGAAGUACACUUUGAAUAGGCUCAAUAUGGCCUGAUUUAAG
rnacentral:lncRNA from 1 species